UACUUGGUCUAUGUAGCGGUGGUUGAGUCGGGUGCUAGUCUAUGUAGAGGUGGUUGAGUCGGGUGCUAGUCUAUGUAGAGGUGGUUGAGUCGGGUGCUAGUGCGUGGCCGGUUUCUUUUUGUUGUCAAUGCUGAGUUAGGUGCUAGUGCGUGGCCGGUUUCUUUUUGUUGUCAUGGUGCUAGUGCGUGGCCGGUUUCUUUUUGUUGUCAUGAGGUACGUAACUGGUUUUUUUGUUUGGUUUUUUUUCUGUGCAGGGUCGGUUUGGUUUGUUUCUUUGUUCACGCCUUCGAGGUAGCUCGGCAGUAGCGUGCAGUGGUCCUUGCGGUCAAAAAGGAGAGCGACCUGGGUAUGAGCGGGAGGCCGGUGUAGGCGGCCUUGCCUUGGUCAGGCCGGUGCGGCCUUGGUCGUUGGAGACGAGGGCAGAGUACCACAACGAGUGGUUCCGGCAGACAAGGACGUGGGUAGAGGAGAGUACCACAACGAGUGGUUCCGGCAGACAAGGACGUGGGUAGAGGAGUGCGGCGUCCAUGUAGGAGGACGGUGGUAGGAGUGGACUCCGGCAGCCUUGGUCGGUGGAGGCGCGCGGCCGACAAGGACGUGGGUAGAGGAGUGCGGCGUCCAUGUAGGAGGACGGUGGUAGGAGUGGACAACGGAUGUUUAUUUUACGUAAGUACUACAGACUCGUUUAAUGGAUGUAAUGUUUCUAUGAAUUGAGUUGGAAAUUCCUGACUUGUUUUCGUAUUCAUGUUGUACCACAUAUGAAACAAAUCAGUCCGGUCAGCUCAGACCUAAUUGGAUCGUCUUCGGUUGAGUAGAUAAAACUCCUUCGGCCGAGUUAGGUCUAGCCAGUAGCAGAAACUAUAAUACCUCCCUCCCCCCAUGGUCAUGGUUAUAUAUGUUACGAUUUGUACGAAUAUUGAACGGUCUGUAUUCAUCUUGAAGUCCGUAGUCGGCUUAAAUCGUGAGGUCGUAACUCGGCUCCAAUCUAAAGUUUUCGAGCCUCUUCUACCCCCGAUAUUCGUAUGAAAGUUAAAGUUGGGCGAAUUUUCGUUGAUAAUGAAUGAACGAUGGGUACACGUGUACUUUUAAGUUCAGUGAUUUCAUCUUUAAAAAGUAAUCCUGUCACUUACAAAUGAGUUUUUUGGUCGUUAUAUCGCAAGGUCACGAGGCGUAAGUUUAUUUUAAUGCAACAACGUCCUCCUUUAUUGUCUUUACCACUAAUUAAACCGAUUAAUCAUCAUUACGUCAUCUUUUCGGAAUACUUCAUCGAUCCUCUAUUUUCUGAUACUGGUUGUGUUGACAUGUUAAUUAAAUAUUGUUAGAAUACGUUCUUUAAUUCGUAUCCGUUAUCUUACCGUUUAAUCUAGCUCUUCUAUACUGGAGGACCAGUCUUCCGGCUCCUAGAAUCUGGCUCCUAGAACCCCGUAUGCCAAGGUAAGUAAGUAGGUAUACUUCCAACAAGCGCGUCUCUUUAGGGUAUAAACUUG
rnacentral:rRNA from 1 species